rnacentral:lncRNA from 1 species
CUCUAAUACUUUCUUAGAGCAUUCCUCUGGACAAGAGGACUCCUCUCUCAAGUUCUUUUAUGCCAAACACUUCCAAGAUGCUUAUUUGCUAGGAAAGCGAGGCUAGAAUAAGUUUCUAGAAGCCCCCAACAAAUAGUUGUCUGCCAAGAACAAGCGUCUGAGGCAUAGUUGUUUGUAGAUCUUGUCCUCUGGCAUUACAGCCAGAAAGUCAACAGAAUAGGGGUCUAGAAGCAGAUAAACAAUUGCUGUAAUAAUAUGUGAAUCUGAGUUGUCGGAACGGAAUUUCUUGUUUGGAUGAUUAUCUGUAAUGACAUGUUUGUUUAUUCGGGAUACGGUAUGGGACGUAUCUUUA